CGCGUAGGAAUUUACCAUGUAGUGGGGGACAACGUUCGGAAACGGGCGCUAAUACCGCAUACGCUCCUUGGAGGAAAGCGGGGGAUCUUCGGACCUCGUGCUAUAUGAUGAGCCUGCGUCGGAUUAGCUAGUUGGUGGGGUAAAGGCCUACCAAGGCGACGAUCCGUAGCUGGUCUGAGAGGAUGAUCAGCCACACUGGGACUGAGACACGGCCCAGACUCCUACGGGAGGCAGCAGUGGGGAAUAUUGGGCAAUGGAGGCAACUCUGACCCAGCCAUGCCGCGUGUGUGAAGAAGGCCU
rnacentral:rRNA from 1 species